GGGCGUGUGGCCUAGUGGAUUAGGGCAGGAGGUUCCUAACCUUCUGACCGCGGGUUCGAAUCCCGUCACGCCCG
rnacentral:tRNA from 1 species